rnacentral:ncRNA from 2 species
UCAUUGACGUUACCCGCAGAAGAAGCAC